AAACUGAUCAUGACAUCAUGCUAUUGACUAUUUUUCACACGAACACACACAAAAACAUGAAAUUAUUACCAUUAUAUGUCCUACACGCGAAAUUUGAUCCCAUUAACACUACAUGCCGUCCUUUUUACCUCGUUCCAGACUUUUUCCGCGAGCCCCACCCUAGCGAAUUGAAUUCGACACAUGCAAAAUGCGACGUUUGAAACAGGUCGCAUUUAGCUCGCACUUAGCUCGCAUUAUGCGACCGGUCGGGUCGAAUUUAAAGUUAAG